AGUGGCGGACGGGUGAGUAACACGUAAGAAUUUGCCUUUAGGAGGGGGACAACAACUAGAAAUGGUUGCUAAUACCCCAUAUGCUUUCGAGUGAAAUGGAUUUUUCCGCCUAGAGAGAAGCUUGCGGCUGAUUAGCUUGUUGGUGAGGUAAUGGCUCACCAAGGCGACGAUCAGUAUCUGGUUUGAGAGGACGAUCAGACACACUGGAACUGAGACACGGUCCAGACUCCUACGGGAGGCAGCAGUGGGGAAUUUUCCGCAAUGGGCGAAAGCCUGACGGAGCAAUACCGCGUGAGGGAUGACGGCCUAUGGGUUGUAAACCUCUUUUUUCAGGGAGGAAUCAAUGACGUGUACCUGAAGAAUAAGCAUCGGCUAACUCCGUGCCAGCAGCCGCGGUAAGACGGGGGAUGCAAGUGUUAUCCGGAAUCACUGGGCGUAAAGCGUCUGUAGGUGGUCCAAUAAGUCAACUGUUAAAUCUUGAGGCUCAACCUCAAAAUCGCAGUCGAAACUAUUAGACUAGAGUAUAGUAGGGGGUAAAGGGAAUUUCCAGUGGAGCGGUGAAAUGCGUAGAGAUUGGAAAGAACACCGAUGGCGAAGGCACUUUACUGGGCUAUUACUAACACUCAGAGACGAAAGCUAGGGUAGCAAAUGGGAUUAGAUACCCCAGUGGUCCUAGCCGUAAACAAUGGAUACUAGAUGU
rnacentral:rRNA from 1 species